rnacentral:rRNA from 1 species
CCNUUGUAGGCUUUGGAAACUGUUUAACUUGAGUGCAGAAGGGGAGAGUGGANUUCCAUGUGUAGCGGUGAAAUGCGUAGAUAUAUGGAGGAACACCGGUGGCGAAAGCGGCUCUCUGNUCUGUAACUGUCGCUGAGGCUCGAAAGCGUGGGGAGCGAACAGGAUUAGAUACCCUGGUAGUCCACGCCGUAAACGAUGAGUGCUAGGUGUUAGGUCCUUUCCGGGACUUAGUGCCGCAGCUAACGCAUUAAGCACUCCGCCUGGGGAGUACGACCGCAAGGUUGAAACUCAAAGGAAUUGACGGGGGCCCGCACAAGCGGUGGAGCAUGUGGUUUAAUUCGAAGCAACGCGAAGAACCUUACCAGGUCUUGACAUCCCGAUGCCCGCUCUAGAGAUAGAGCUUUACUUCGGUACAUCGGUGACAGGUGGUGCAUGGUUGUCGUCAGCUCGUGUCGUGAGAUGUUGGGUUAAGUCCCGCAACGAGCGCAACCCUUAUUGUUAGUUGCCAUCAUUCAGUUGGGCACUCUAGCGAGACUGCCGGUAAUAAACCGGAGGAAGGUGGGGAUGACGUCAAAUCAUCAUGCCCCUUAUGACCUGGGCUACACACGUGCUACAAUGGCUGGUACAACGAGUCGCAAGCCGGUGACGGCAAGCUAAUCUCUGAAAGCCAGUCUCAGUUCGGAUUGUAGGCUGCAACUCGCCUACAUGAAGUCGGAAUCGCUAGUAAUCGCGGAUCAGCACGCCGCGGUGAAUACGUUCCCGGGCCUUGUACACACCGCCCGUCACACCACGAGAGUUUGUAACACCCGAAGUCGGUGAGGUAACCGUAA